rnacentral:rRNA from 1 species
AAUGAACGUUGGCGGCGUGGAUUAGGCAUGCGAGUCGCGCGAGAAUGUAGCAAUACAGGAAAGCGGCGAAAGGGAGAGGAAUAGGUGGGAAUCUGCCCCUGGGUCGGGGAUAGCUACGGGAAACUGUAGGUAAUACCCGAUAACGUCUUCGGACCAAAGGUGUGAUUCCGUCUGGGGAUGAGCCCACCUCCUAUUAGCUAGUUGUUAGGGUAAUGGCCUAACAAGGCAUUGAUGGGUAGCUGGUGUGAGAGCACGACCAGCCUCACUGGCACUGAGACACUGGCCAGACACCUACGGGUGGCAG